UCUGCCUCUCAUCCUGACCCCUGUGUUCAUCUGCUCAUCUCGGCAGAGCUCAGAUGCUAAGCAGGGUCAGGCCUGGUCAGUACCUGGAUGGGAGACUGCUGGGGAAUACUGGUUGCUUAC
rnacentral:rRNA from 1 species